AUUGAACGCUGGCGGCAUGCCUUACACAUGCAAGUCGAACGGUAACAGGUCUUCGGAUGCUGACGAGUGGCGAACGGGUGAGUAAUACAUCGGAACGUGCCUAGUAGUGGGGGAUAACUACUCGAAAGAGUGGCUAAUACCGCAUGAGAUCUACGGAUGGAAGCAGGGGAUCGCAAGACCUUGUGCUACUAGAGCGGCCGAUGGAAGAUUAGGUAGUUGGUGGGAUAAAAGCUUACCAAGCCGAUGAUCUGUAGGUGGUCUGAGAGGACGAUCAGCCACACUGGGACGGAGACACGGCCCAGACUCCUACGGGAGGCAGCAGUGGGGAAUUUUGGACAAUGGGCGAAAGCCUGAUCCAGCAAUGCCGCGUGCAGGAUGAAGGCCUUCGGGUUGUAAACUGCUUUUGUACGGAACGAAAAGCCCCGGGUUAAUACCCUGGGGUCAUGACGGUACCGUAAGAAUAAGCACCGGCUAACUACGUGCCAGCAGCCGCCGUAA
rnacentral:rRNA from 1 species